ACGGAGGGUGCAAGCGUUAAUCGGAAUUACUGGGCGUAAAGCGUGCGUAGGUGGUUCGUUAAGUCCGUUGUGAAAGCCCCGAGCUCAACUUGGGAAUUGCAGUGGAUACUGGCGAGCUGGAGUGCGGUAGAGGAAGGUGGAAUUCCCGGUGUAGCGGUGAAAUGCGUAGAGAUCGGGAGGAACACCGGUGGCGAAGGCGGCCUUCUGGACGGUGACUGACGCUGAGGCGCGAAAGCGUGGGGAGCAAACGGGA
rnacentral:rRNA from 1 species